rnacentral:rRNA from 1 species
GAUGAACGCUAGCGACAGGCCUAACACAUGCAAGUCGAGGGGCAGCACAUAAGGUAGCAAUACUUUUGGUGGCGACCGGCGCACGGGUGAGUAACACGUAUGCAAUCUACCUGUAAGCGGGGGAUAACCCGGAGAAAUUCGGACUAAUACCGCAUAAUACCACGAAUUCGCAUGAAUUUGUGUGUUAAACAUUUAUGGCUUACAGAUGAGCAUGCGUAUGAUUAGAUAGUUGGUAGGGUAACGGCCUACCAAGUCUGCGAUCAUUAGGGGUUCUGAGAGGAAGGUCCCCCACACUGGUACUGAGGCACGGACCAGACUCCUACGGGAGGCAGCAGUGAGGAAUAUUGGUCAAUGGACGAGAGUCUGAACCAGCCAAGUCGCGUGAAGGAAGACGGUUCUAUGAAUUGUAAACUUCUUUUGUGCAGGAAUAAAGUGGGUUACGUGUAACCUUUUGUAUGUACUGUACGAAUAAGCAUCGGCUAACUCCGUGCCAGC